rnacentral:rRNA from 1 species
GGAGCAUGUUAUUUAAUUCGAUAAUCCACGACUAACCUUACCAUAUUUUGAAUAUUAUAAUAAUUAUUAUAAUUAUUAUAUUACAGGCGUUACAUUGUUGUCUUUAGUUCGUGCUGCAAAGUUUUAGAUUAAGUUCAUAAACGAACAAAACUCCAUAUAUAUAAUUUUAAUUAUAUAUAAUUUUAUAUUAUUUAUUAAUAUAAAGAAAGGAAUUAAGACAAAUCAUAAUGAUCCUUAUAAUAUGGGUAAUAGACGUGCUAUAAUAAAAUGAUAAUAAAAUUAUAUAAAAUAUAUUUAAUUAUAUUUAAUUAAUAAUAUAAAACAUUUUAAUUUUUAAUAUAUUUUUUUAUUAUAUAUUAAUAUGAAUUAUAAUCUGAAAUUCGAUUAUAUGAAAAAAGAAUUGCUAGUAAUACGUAAAUUAGUAUGUUACGGUGAAUAUUCUAACUGUUUCGCACUAAUCACUCAUCACGCGUUGAAACAUAUUAUUAUCUUAUUAUUUAUAUAAUAUUUUUUAAUAAAUAUUAAUAAUUAUUAAUUUAUAUUUAUUUAUAUCAGAAAUAAUA